ACGGAGGGUGCAAGCGUUGUCCGGAAUCACUGGGUGUAAAGGGUGUGUAGGUGGAUCUGUAAGUCAGAGGUGAAAGCCCACAGCUUAACUGUGGAACUGCCUUUGAUACUGCUGAUCUUGAGUACUGGAGGGGCUGCUAGAAUUCGUGGUGUAGCGGUGAAAUGCGUAGAUAUCACGAGGAAUACCAAAGGCGUAGGCAGGCAGCUGGACAGUUACUGACACUGAGGCACGAAAGCGUGGGGAGCAAACAGG
rnacentral:rRNA from 1 species